rnacentral:rRNA from 1 species
CUCAUUCGGAUUGGAGUCUGCAACCCGACUCCAUGAAGCUGGAUUCGCUGUAAUCGCGCAUCAGCCACGGCGCGGUGAAUACGUUCCCGGGCCUUGUACACACCGCCCGUCAAGCCAUGGAAGCCGGGAGUGCCUGAAGUACGCGACCGCAAGGAGCGUCCUAAGGUAAAACCGGUGACUGGGGCUAAGUCGUAACAAGGUAUC